rnacentral:lncRNA from 1 species
ACAGAAAUAAUAUGUACUUCUAAUCGUUUACUAACCGAAUUUAACUCUAUAAGUAUAUUUGAAAAAAUUUGAAACAUUAAAAUAAUAUUUUUAAUAUUAGCUUUAUAAGCAGGAUAAAUAAGGAACUAGAAAAAUUUUCAGCAGUAUUUAACUAAUUACCUCUACUAUUAAUAAUGUUUAUUAAAGUUAAUAGUUUUAAUUAGUUUGAACUAAUUAGAAUAAUGUAAAUAAAAAUAUAAAAGGUAAGAAAGUGUCAAUUA